UACGAACUGUGCGAACGUUAUUCGGAAUCACUGGGCUUACAGGGUGCGUAGGCGGCUUGUUAAGUAGGGUGUGAAAGCCCCCGGCUCAACCGGGGAAUUGCGCCCUAAACUGGCGAGCUGGAGUGAGAUAGGGGUGUGUGGAACUUCCGGUGGAGCGGUGAAAUGUGUUGAUAUCGGAAGGAACGCCGGUGGCGAAAGCGACGUACUGGACCUCUUCUGACGCUGAGGCGCGAAAGCUAGGGGAGCAAACGGG
rnacentral:rRNA from 1 species